GCGAACGCUGGCGGCAGGCUUAACACAUGCCAGUCGAGCGGGCAUCCUUGUGGUGUCAGCGGCUGACGGGUGAGUAACGCGUUGGAAAGUGCCCUUCUGUUCGGCAUAACUCAGGGGAACUUGAGCUAAUACCGGAUACGUGCGAGAGCAGAAAGGUUUAUCUGCCGAAUGAUCGGCCCGCGUCUGAUUAGCUAGUUGGUGAGGUUAUGGCUCACCAAGGCGACGAUCAGUAGCUGGUCUGGGCGGAUGAUCAGCCACACUGGGACUGGGACACGGACCAGACUCCUACGGGAGGCAGCAGUGGGGAAUAUUGGACAAUGGGGGCAACCCUGAUCCAGCCAUGCCGCGUGAGUGAUGACGGCCUUAGGGUUGUAAAGCUCUUUUCUCCGGGACGAUAAUGACGGUACCGUAGGAAUAAGCCCCGGCUAACUUCGUG
rnacentral:rRNA from 1 species